AGAGUUUGAUCCUGGCUCAGAACGAACGCUGGCGGCGUGGAUAAGACAUGCAAGUCGAACGGGACAUGUUUUGUAGCAAUACAGGAUAUGUUUAGUGGCGUAAGGGUGCGUAACACGUGGGCAAUCUGCCGGGAAAUGGGGGAUAGCUCGCCGAAAGGCGAAUUAAUACCGCAUGUGGCCAGGGAGGACAUCCUCCUGUAGCUAAAGUCGGGGCAACCUGACGUUUCCUGAUGAGCCCGCGGCCUAUCAGCUAGUUGGUAAGGUAAUGGCUUACCAAGGCUAUGACGGGUAGCUGGUCUGAGAGGACGACCAGCCACACUGGAACUGAGACACGGUCCAGACACCUACGGGUGGCAGCAGUCGAGAAUUUUUCUCAAUGGGGGAAACCCUGAAGGAGCGACGCCGCGUGGAGGAUGAAGGUUUUCGGAUUGUAAACUCCUGUCAUGAGGGAGCAAUGCUGCGGGGAGUAACUGCCUUGUAGUUGAUAGUACCUCAAGAGGAAGGGACGGCUAACUCUGUGCCAGCAGCCGCGGUAAUACAGAGGUCCCAAGCGUUGUUCGGAUUCAUUGGGCGUAAAGGGUGCGUAGGCGGCGCCGUAAGUCGGAUGUGAAAUCUCGGGGCUCAACCCCGAAACUGCAUUCGAUACUGCGGUGCUAGAGGACUCUAGAGGAAACUGGAAUUCACGGUGUAGCAGUGAAAUGCGUAGAUAUCGUGAGGAAGACCAGUGGCGAAGGCGGGUUUCUGGAGAGUUCCUGACGCUGAGGCACGAAGGCCAGGGGAGCAAACGGGAUUAGAUACCCCCGUAGUCC
rnacentral:rRNA from 1 species